GCGGACGGGUGAGUAACGCGUGGGUAACCUGCCUCAUACAGGGGGAUAACAGUUAGAAAUGACUGCUAAUACCGCAUAAGCACACAGUACCGCAUGGUACAGAGUGAAAAACUCCGGUGGUAUGAGAUGGACCCGCGUCUGAUUAGCUGGUUGGCGGGGUAACGGCCCACCAAGGCGACGAUCAGUAGCCGACCUGAGAGGGUGACCGGCCACAUUGGGACUGAGACACGGCCCAAACUCCUACGGGAGGCAGCAGUGGGGAAUAUUGCACAAUGGGGGAAACCCUGAUGCAGCAACGCCGCGUGAGUGAAGAAGUAUUUCGGUAUGUAAAGCUCUAUCAGCAGGGAAGAAAGUGACGGUACCUGACUAAGAAGCCCCGGCUAACUACGUGCCAGCAGCCGCGGUAAUACGUAGGGGGCAAGCGUUAUCCGGAUUUACUGGGUGUAAAGGGAGCGUAGACGGCACAGCAAGUCUGAAGUGAAAUCCCCGGGCUCAACCCGGGAACUGCUUUGGAAACUGUUGGGCUAGAGUGCUGGAGAGGCAAGCGGAAUUCCUAGUGUAGCGGUGAAAUGCGUAGAUAUUAGGAGGAACACCAGUGGCGAAGGCGGCUUGCUGGACAGUAACUGACGUUGAGGCUCGAAAGCGUGGGGAGCAAACAGGAUUAGAUACCCUGGUAGUCCACGCCGUAAACGAUGCAUACUAGGUGUCGGGGAGCAAAGCUUUCCGGUGCCG
rnacentral:rRNA from 1 species